rnacentral:piRNA from 1 species
CCUCCUUGUGCCCUGAGUUAUUUCCAGA